rnacentral:rRNA from 1 species
AGGUGCAAGCGUUACUCGGAAUCACUGGGCGUAAAGCGCACGUAGGCGGACUUACAGGUCAAUUGUGAAAUACCUGAGCUCAACUCAGGAACUGCAGUUGAAACCGUUUGUCUUGAAUACCUGAGAGGGUGGGGGAAUACCUGGUGGAGAAGUGAAAUUCGUAGAGAUCAGGUGGAACACCGGAGGCGAAGGCGCCUGCCUGGCAGUGUAUUGACGCUGAGGUGCGAAAGUGCGGGGAGCAAACAGGAUUAGAUACCCUGGUAGUCCGCACCGUAAACGAUGGAUACUAGGCGUUCGGAGAGUUAACCCUCUGAGUGCCAAAGUUCACACAUUAAGUAUCCCGCCUGGGAAGUACGGUCGCAAGACUA